AGUCACGGGCCUCACCCCGGGAACCCCCUUAACGGCCGCUCUAGACGCCCCUGAACUUGCUGAACUCCGCAUCGAACUAACAAUGCUCUCCAGAGGUUCGUGUUCAAUCGGAAAGAAACCCCGGUAAAAGGCGGAGGAUGUGAGCGAUAGCAAAGCAGACCUACAGAUGAGCCCUCCAACUUUAUCCAGUGAUUCUAGCAAUGUGAGGGCCUUGUCCUUGCUGGUGCCUUAUAAACAGAAGUAUGCAACUGAUCUCCUUGGUGAAGUGACUGCUUGGUAGAGAGUUCUUAAAGCUGUGAUGUGCCCUGUGAAAUAUUCAACUACCUUGGCCCAAGAGCCACCAUCUUUGGAAAGUUCCUCAUCCCCAGUACGCUCACCAAGAAGUCCUUGGCACAAACCCUUCAGGGACUUAGGUCCAUUUCAAAAUCUGUGUUAGAAAAUUAGUUUAAAAAAUAAGAAAAAUAAUAAAAUG